CUGAUUUUGGUUUAGCAAAAGUGGGUCCUGUUGGAGACAAAACCCAUGUAUCCACCAGAGUGAUGGGAACCUAUGGGUAUUGUGCUCCUGAAUAUGCAAUGACAGGUCAGCUUACACUUAAAUCAGAUGUAUAUAGCUUUGGUGUUGUUCUUCUUGAGAUUAUUACUGGAAGGAAAGCUAUUGACAAUUCAAGAGCUGCUGGGGAGCAUAAUCUCGUUGCAUGGGCA
rnacentral:misc_RNA from 1 species